rnacentral:lncRNA from 1 species
AUGACGUUCAUCUUACUUGAAGAUCUUGGACUGAACAAGAAGAAAUUUCUUUCCAGUUUGAACUUCCAAGUGGCAUCCUACUGGCUCAACUCUGGAGAACUCUUCUUAGCCACAUAUGUGUUUGGACUGCAUCUUCCCGGCUUUAUACACACAAAUACAAUGAAAUUGAGCAUAUUUUCUGACAAAUUGGAACACCCUUUUCCAUUGAGGGUGACACAUAGAAGAUAUGGAAGUUCUCCAGAGAACAGAUGGGAAGUGACUGGAUCUCUGGUAUGUGGACAUUACUAGACUAGAUGCUCUCUUGUCUGGGUAAAGAAAGCAAUUGCAAAAGAGAUUGUGUGAAGGCCUUGUCUGUAUG